CCAAACUGAAAUACCCUCUGUCUGGAAUGAGUUAAGCCUUUCAAUACUUAAUACUGGAUUAUAUAACAAAGGUUUAAAGCAAAGUGACUUGAAGAGCCUGAGUUGAGCCAAAGACUGGGGACUUCUGAAGAAUAUCUAACAUCAAUUCUGCUACAUGGAGCCAACUUAAUCAAACAGGAUUUGUGGAUCAAUCACAUCACAAGCGCAACAAACAGAAAAAAAAGGAUCUAGGACACGAGGAAAGGCAGCUUGAAAAACAGACAAGAUGGGGCUUGACCUCUCCUUGACCCUGCCUAUUGAACCAUUUCGAUGCACUCUCUGUAAAGAAGGGACUUUUCUGCUUUUUAUUACGUCAAAUGUGAGAUGGCUAACACGAACCGGGAGCUGUCGCUACACACCAGCACCAAACCCCGAACUACAGUGCACCACUGUCUUGACUGUGUUUGUCUUUUCACCAUACAGCUGCAUUAGAGCACCCACUGUCCAGAGACGUGGCCGUGUCUGUGUUGCGUGUAAAUUAUAAAAGUGUUAUUAUUUCGGGACUGUAACCAUCGUUUUGCACGGCGUAAUACACAUUGGUGUGUAGAGCCUGUGCCUAUUAUUUCAGGUGUUGUUGACACGCAACCCAGCCUCAAUA